UCCCUUCGGGGCAUUGGAGACAGGUGGUGCAUGGUUGUCGUCAGCUCGUGUCGUGAGAUGUUGGGUUAAGUCCCGCAACGAGCGCAACCCCUAUUUCCAGUAGCCAGCAAGAAAGAUGGGAACUCUGGAGAGACUGCCCGGGAUAACUGGGAGGAAGGCGGGGAUGACGUCAAAUCAUCAUGCCCCUUAUGAUCAGGGCUACACACGUGCUACAAUGGCGUAAACAAAGGGAAGCGAAGUGGUGACACGAAGCAAAUCCGAAAAACAACGUCUCAGUUCGGAUUGUAGUCUGCAACUCGACUACAUGAAGCUGGAAUCGCUAGUAAUCGCGAAUCAGAAUGUCGCGGUGAAUACGUUCCCGGGUCUUGUACACACCGCCCGUCACACCAUGGGAGUCGGAAAUGCCCGAAGUCAGUGACCCAACCGAGAGGAGGGAGCUGCCGAAGGUGGAGCCGGUAACUGGGGUGAAGUCGUAACAAGGUAGCCGUAUCGGAAGGUGCGGCUGGAU
rnacentral:rRNA from 1 species